rnacentral:rRNA from 1 species
GUAAGGAAUCUUCCACAAUGGGGGCAACCCUGAUGGAGCAAUACCGCGUGCAGGAUGAAGCGUUUCGGCGUGUAAACUGCUUUUAUCUGUGAUGAUUAUGACAGUAGCAGAAGAAUAAGGAUCGGCUAACUACGUGCCAGCAGCCGCGGUAAUACGUAGGAUCCAAGCGUUAUCCGGAAUUACUGGGCGUAAAGCGUCUGUAGGCGGCUUUUUAAGUCGGGUGCGAAAUCUUGCGGCUCAACCGUAUAGACUGUGCUCGAAACUAUUAAGCUAGAGGUAGGUAGAGGCAAGUGGAAUUUCUGGUGUAGGAGUGACAUCCGUAGAUAUCAGAAGGAACACCAAUGGCGAAGGCAGCUUGCUGGGCCUUACCUGACGCUCAGAGACGAAAGCGUGGGGAGCGAACGGGAUUAGAAACCCCGGUAGUCC